rnacentral:lncRNA from 10 species
UGAUUACCCACCCGUCAGGGCACCGCUGAAGGUCACUGAAUACUUACUGUGCACCCGAAAAAUAAAUCCUGCGAGUUCACGCCCGCGUAGUUCGCCCCCUGAUUUUGAGCGACUCCUUUCGCAUGGGAUCUACAAAACCGAACUGCCUUAAAGACCUCUUUCACACGGACGUGAAGUCACAGAACUGACAAAAUCCCAUCCUGUCAAAGUGCACGGGUCUUUGAAAUCUAACACAAAAAGCCAUAGAAAGAUUCUCUAAACACCCUGUACUAAGAGGAACACGGACAGGGCACUGCGUUCUGAAGUAGAGGCCAGGGCACUGGCCCUUAGACACGUCUCGCUGUCACCGGGCUAACAACAUUGGCAAGGGCGGCGGCAGCAGCACUGAUAUUUGCAGCCCCCAAGGGCUCUGGCGAAACCCCCUCUAUUACUCUGUAUCCUGCCUGCUUCCAAGAUGAACCUGUUGCUGGGAAAGAACAGGCUAAAUUAGAAAAGGGAGUAUUUUGUCAAAGUUGAAGAAACCUCUGUAGAGGAGCAGGAUGCAACCGACAGGCUGUGGCCGGACAGCUGCUGCCCAGCACAUGGAGCCUGCACGCGCACGGUUUGGCCAAAGAAGCCCCCAUACUCCCGGUGAAAAAGAUGGAGUCUUGCUCUGUUGCCCAGGCUGGAGUACAAUGAUGUGUUCUCAGCUCACUGCAACCUCCCUCUCCCAGGUUCAAGUGAUCUCCUGCCUCAGCCUCUGGAGUAGCUGGGAUUACAGAUUUCCAGAAGCUGUUCUGUCAAUAACAAAGUCUCAAAGAAAACCACAAAACCACCAACACUAAGAUCAUUCUUGAGUCCAAUUUGAAAAACUAGGGUCAAGUUCUGCAGAGGCAUUGAAAGGACAAGAAACCACCCUGAUACCCAUCGUGUGAGGGAAAAUGCUCUAUUCACCAUUCCUCAGCUUCUGCUUCUGGUUUCAGAGUUCUCUCUAUAUUGGAGGGUGUUUUAAAGCUAGAGUGGUCUUUAUCCACUUUUAUUAACACAUCUGAAUGUGAAGGUCAAGAGAGGAAAGUGAUAUGUCCUAAGUCAGAGUAGAGUCAACAAGAAAAUAAGACAAACAGCGACUGAGCCCCUGGUGUAUACUGGGCAUUGGCCAGCUACUGGGGAUAUGGAGAUGAAGAAAACAUAACCCUUCUUCAAGGAGCCCAACCUACCAAGGUAGACAGACAUAUAGACAAAUAGAUACUUGCAUAGAAAAAAAGAGGAAAAGGGGAUCAGUGUGACCUGUGUAACUAAGUACCCUAUAAACCCUCCUGCAACAGAUCAUAUUGCCCUUUAUAGUGGGGAUGGUAAUCCCAUCUGAAUUCCACAGGUACUUUGCAGUCAUACCACACCCAUGUGUCUGUCGGUCCUGACUGUACCAUUUAUAAACAGCUUCACUUUCAGCAGUUCUCAGCCCUCUUAAGCUAGGGUCAUUGUCAGUAGGGAUACUGCUUCAUAAGCACCAGCAGAACACCAAAGGAGACCAUAUGGGUGAAAGCAACCAGCACUGCCCUGGCGCUUCAUAGGUU